GGUAAAAGUUUUUAUUGACCAUGAAAAAAUCGAGAGUCAGUGACAAGGAGAACCAGUGGCCUGAGGAUAAAUUGAAUAACUUAUUAUCUUCCAAUGAUCACAUAAGCAUGUCAGUCAACAAAAAUGUUGAAGACACAAUGAAUGAAACAUUGGUCGAAAAACUACGACAAUGUUUACCAAAACAUCAAGAGAAUUACGAGACUAUAAAGAGUCUACUGGCAAAACUUUACACUCGCAUUACAUCCUCAGAUCGAAAAGUUCGAGAACGCACUCUGGAAACGAUGUGGAGCAAAGAGUACAACGUUAUCGAAAUAUUUAUCGUCUUGCUGGAGGCUUGUAAAGAUAAUGGAGUGUGUUGUAAUAUUACUGGAAUAUUGCAUGAAUGUAUAGCACCUCGACAAUCCAAGGUGAAAUUAAAAGGAGCCAAAAAUAAGCACUCGAAAAGUGCGAGUCGAACAACAAUUGCUCAACUAAUACAAUUUGGCGGUACGCAAGUAUUUUUGAAAUUAUUAAUAAAUUCCCAACGAGCUGACAAUACUAUGACAGAAAUAUUAAUAUAUGAAAUACUGUGGAUAUUAAGUCAGAUUGCUCAGAAGGAUCAAAAAUUUCAAAUAAAAGUAAGACUUUUAAAUGUCACCAAAGUGUUUAAUUCAUUGUUAAAAAAUAAUUAUAACGACGCUCGAUUACUUUUGCCGCUUCUUCUUAUCCUAAAAAGUCUCGCUAAAAAUACUUCCGCUGUUCAAAUUCUUGUGAAAGACGGAAUAGCCUCGAGUUUUGAAAAAACUUUUGUCUGCAUCGGAUACUCGCCUCACCUCAAGUUAAAAGUUUUAUUGGAGUGUCUAAAACAUUUUACAAGCAAUCGACUCUGCUGUGCCAAGUUCAUUAAAGGAAAUAUGGUGCACAUGUUGAUGCGUGUUUUUGAACGUUGGGACAGAUGGGACGGACAGUUGAGACAAAAAAUUGCCAACUAUGGUCUCUGUACCCUCCACCACUUGUGUUUGAUAAAAUCCGGACGACGAGCGCUAAAAGCAAACAAUGGCCUCCAGCUGCUGUACCGUUUCUGCAGCAAUUGUCCCGAAACAAAACCCUACGACUUUCUGCUUUCCCGCGUGUGCGGAAUCAUAAGUCAGUGUUUAGAAAAGAGGGAUUUGCCGGUGCCUGAAAUGUCACCAGCUAAAUUUAAUUUACCAAAUGGUAAUGGGAAGAGGGCCAACAGCGUCGACAGUUGCAGUGACGUUGAAAGUCAGGCAAAUAGUGUUAAUUCGGCAGGAAGAGUUUGCAGUGACGCGGAUUCUGUUGAUGAUGAUGAUGAUGAUGAUGACGAUAAUGAUGAUGAUUACAGUGGCGACCACUGUGCUUUGAAUAUUGGUAAAAAUAAAUUUAAACACUUUAAUGAUGUUAAUAAUGCUGACGAAGGUCAAUAUUUUGCGAGUGUCAUCACAUCUCAGCGAACUACUGAAGAUCUUCUUGGGUACAGUGUUCUCUUUCGAGAACUGGGUAAUCUAGAAACGCAAUUAAUGAUGGAGAGCCAAUCAAAUUUAGAAGACAGUAUUGUCGAGUCUGUAAUGAGCAAAGAAACAAAACGCAAACAAUUAUUGAGCGACGUUAAAUCUGAUUCAAAUAAUUGGACAGGUGUUUGUACACAAAUUACAGAUGUUGAAGCAUUGCCGUAUCUGAGAAAGCUACGACUCUUGGACGACAUCCCACAGAACGCACUAGAAAAAACAAUUUAUUGUAUCUGUGCCAGUAGAGUAAGAAGCGUAAUAUCUUUUGUAAAGGUGGCGUAUCCUGAUCUAAUAGGCGGUUGUUGUCGUGGGAAUCCCGAGCCGCUUAAUGACAAAGACAGAAAAGUUUGCCGAGCAAAGCUACUGAGUAGUGUCGAGCGUGGACUUCGACCGAACCUGCAUACGCAGGAAGUAAUUUUUGACCUGGACGCCCUUACGAUGACUUGCCAAACUGCUGGCGGAACCUCUGCGUCGUCAUCUUCUGAGAGACUCGACAGACUGGUUUUGGGAAAUUCUGAUGAAUCACAUACUGGUAGCCGUUGCAUCGAAACCAAGAGUUUGUUAUUCGAAUCGAGAUUCGAGAGCGGAAACUUACGGAAAGUCAUUCAGAUAGGCCCUCAAGAGUACGACUUAAUCCUGACCCCGGAUGUCAACAGCGGGUCGAGACACCAGUGGUUUUAUUUCCAAGUAUCAAACAUGGAAGCAAACAUUCCUUACACUUUUAAUAUCGUAAACUGCGAGAAGGCAAACUCGCAGUUCAACUUCGGCAUGAAGCCAAUUCUCUUCAGUGUUACCGAGGCCCAACUGGGCAGACCAGGCUGGGUGAGAACUGGCAGCGAUAUCUGUUACUACAGAAACUGCUAUCGGAGACCUUGUCGGGGUAAAAAUUACCUCACCACUUCUUUCAACGUUACCUUUCCUCAUUCAUACGACAUUUGCUACCUGGCGUACCAUUUCCCGUACACAUACAGUCAGUUGAUGACCCACAUCUGGAGAUGGUCGCGCCUGGAAAAAGAGUCUGUACAUUUUUCAGCAGAGAUACUCUGCAAUACUCUAAAUAAUAAUGAGUGCCCCUUGUUGACCAUAACUUCUCCAGAGUCGACUCAAAAUCCAAUUAGUAAAAGGAAAAUAAUAUUUUUAACAUCGCGGGUCCAUCCUGGAGAAAGUAAUUCGUCUUGGGUAAUUCACGGUACACUGGAAGCUCUUCUUGCAGACAGUACUUACGCCAAAAGUCUUCGGGAUGAUUACAUCUUCAAGAUAGUUCCCAUGCUUAACAUAGAGGGCGUCGUUAACGGGUGAGACUGAGUAACUCCAAACCAAACACUAGACGAGAAUCGAGAAGAAUCCAAAUGCCAACAGACGAUUCGCUAUCUGGCUGCUCAGUUCGGGUCCAAGUCGAGGAGAGAUGAUAAAAGAUUUAAAAGCUGGACUCACUUGAGACAUCUGCAGACACUCCAGACUCUAAAUAAUCUGAGACACGGUGCCCUGACCAGACAUCCUGACCACGGAUUCAAAAUUCUUAUCUCUUCGGUCUGCCAGAGACUUUACCAGAGUUUAAAAUAAAAAAAAAACCUUUCAAAGUAAAACUAAUCAAGUCGACACACUCGACGCGUCCAAGAUAUUUUAUGGCUGAGCGAGAAAAAAUAACAAUAAAACACAGGUGAUAUAUUUACCUGGAUACAACGAAAUCCGUCUCGUUACCAGGAAUUUAUCGAGAUUUACUCUUAAACAGGAAUCUUUAUUUUUAGCCGGUGAUGGGAUAAAGAAGUUACGCAUCAAGUCGGACAAUAAAUAAAAGCGGAGUUCUAUUCACAAGGCCACGGCAAGACGGAUCAUCUACUAGAUGUGCUGUGUAUAGUAUUGGAGUUUGUAAGUAACUUGGUGGUGGCGAUCCCGUGGGAAUGUAAGCGCAUGAAGAUCGCUGCGAUAAGCCAUCAGAGAUCGAAUGGAAGUAUAACUUGGGUACAAGUCAUGUAGCAGAGGUAUAAACGUUGCUCGCUCGAGGCUCUCCGGUGUCUUUACUCGCAUGUCCAGGGCCCUCUUCUUCCUCUACUACCUCUUCUUCUUCUUCUUCUUCUUCUUCUUCUUUUCUUGCAGUAAACCCUCAACCCGGUAUAAUAAGUAAAGAGAACUAAACAAGCGAUCCUCCUUCGCAUCAAUCGUCUCAUCCUUUAUUUCUCUCUCAGUAUUACCUGGGGUCUACUGUGCUGUUGCCGUACGUUGCUGCUGCAUUAUUCGCCUUCAGCUCAUUUCUCAGUCUCUUCUUACAUUAACUACAGGAGAGUUCUCGUAGUAUAUCCUCUUUACUUAUUCUUCUCGUUUCAUCUUUGGUAUCCAGCUCCAGGCGCUGGAUCACUGGCUGGAAGCCACUUUUCACCGUCCAGCAUCCACUAUAUUUUUUCCCUCAACUAUUUCUUCUUCUUUUUUUUUUUUUUUUUAU